rnacentral:rRNA from 1 species
UACGUAGGGGGCGAGCGUUGUCCGGAGUUACUGGGCGUAAAGCGCACGCAGGCGGUCUGUUAAGUUUGGAGUGACAGUUGGUGGCUUAACUGCCAAAGUGCUUCGAAAACUGACAGACUUGAGGGCUUCAGAGGGACACGGAAUUCCGGGUGGAGUGGUGAGAUGCGUAGAGAUCCGGAGGAACACCAAAGGCGAAGGCAGUGUCCUGGGGAGUACCUGACGCUCAGGUGCGAAAGCCAGGGGAGCGAACGGG